rnacentral:rRNA from 1 species
CUCCCGGAUGUUAGCGGCGGACGGGUGAGUAACACGUGGGUAACCUGCCUGUAAGACUGGGAUAACUCCGGGAAACCGGAGCUAAUACCGGAUAGUUCCUUGAACCGCAUGGUUCAAGGAUGAAAGACGGUUUCGGCUGUCACUUACAGAUGGACCCGCGGCGCAUUAGCUAGUUGGUGAGGUAACGGCUCACCAAGGCGACGAUGCGUAGCCGACCUGAGAGGGUGAUCGGCCACACUGGGACUGAGACACGGCCCAGACUCCUACGGGAGGCAGCAGUAGGGAAUCUUCCGCAAUGGACGAAAGUCUGACGGAGCAACGCCGCGUGAGUGAUGAAGGUUUUCGGAUCGUAAAGCUCUGUUGUUAGGGAAGAACAAGUGCAAGAGUAACUGCUUGCACCUUGACGGUACCUAACCAGAAAGCCACGGCUAACUACGUGCCAGCAGCCGCGGUAAUACGUAGGUGGCAAGCGUUGUCCGGAAUUAUUGGGCGUAAAGGGCUCGCAGGCGGUUUCUUAAGUCUGAUGUGAAAGCCCCCGGCUCAACCGGGGAGGGUCAUUGGAAACUGGGAAACUUGAGUGCAGAAGAGGAGAGUGGAAUUCCACGUGUAGCGGUGAAAUGCGUAGAGAUGUGGAGGAACACCAGUGGCGAAGGCGACUCUCUGGUCUGUAA